UACAGAGGGGGCAAGCGUUAUUCGGAAUUAUUGGGCGUAGAGGGCGCGUAGGCGGCUUGGCAAGUGGAAGGUGAAAUCCCUCGGCUUAACCGAGGAACUGCCCUCCAAACUGCUUGGCUUGAGACCGGGAGAGGUGAGUGGAAUUCCCAGUGUAGCGGUGAAAUGCGUAGAUAUUGGGAGGAACACCAGUGGCGAAGGCGGCUCACUGGACCGGUACUGACGCUCAUGCACGAAAGCGUGGGGAGCAAACAGG
rnacentral:rRNA from 1 species